GUCGGUAGAUAAGUGUGUAGGUCGGUAGAUAAGUGUGUAGGUCGGUAGAUAAGUGUGUAGGUCGGUAGAUAAGUGUGUAGGUCGGUAGAUAAGUGUGUAGGUCGGUAGAUAAGUGUGUAGGUCGGUAGAUAAGUGUGUAGGUAGAUAAGUGUGUAGGUCGGUAGAUAAGUGUGUAGGUCGGUAGAUAAGUGUGUAGGUAGGUAGAUAAGUGUGUAGGUAGGUAGAUACGUGUGUUGGUGGGUAGGUAGAUACGUGUGUUGGUGGGUAGGUAGAUACGUGUGUUGGUGGGUAGAUAGGUGUGUAGGUAGAUAAGUGUGUAGGUAGAUAAGUGUGUAGGUAGGUAGAUAAGUGUGUAGGUAGGUAGAUAAGUGUGUAGGUAGGUAGAUAAGUGUGUAGGUAGGUAGAUAAGUGUGUAGGUAGGUAGAUAAGUGUGUAGGUAGGUAGAUAAGUGUGUAGGUAGGUAGAUAAGUGUGUAGGUAGACAAGUGUGUAGGUAGACAAGUGUGUAGGUAGAUAGAUAGGUGUGCAGGUAGAUAAGUGGGUAGGUAGACAAGUGUGUAGGUAGAUAGAUAGGUGUGCAGGUAGAUAAGUGGGUAGGUAGAUAAGUGGGUAGGUAGGUAGAUAAGUGUGUAUGUAGAUAAGUGUGUAGGUAGAUAAGUGUGUAGGUAGGUAGACAGGUGUGUAGGUAGAUAGACAGGUGUGUAGGUAGAUAAGUGUGCAGGUAGAUAAGUGUGCAGGUAGGUAGAUAAGUGGGUAGGUAGAUAAGUGGGUAGGUAGAUAAGUGGGUAGGUAGGUAGAUAGAUAAGUGUGUAGGUAGAUAAGUGUGUAGGUAGAUAAGUGUGUAGGUAGAUAAUUGGGUAGGUAGAUAAGUGGGUAGGUAGGUAGAUAAGUGUGCAGGUAGAUAAGUGUGUAGGUAGAUAGAUAAGUGUGUGGGUAGGUAGAUAAGUGGGUAGGUAGGUAGAUAAGUGUGUAGGUAGAUAAUUGGGUAGGUAGAUAAGUGGGUAGGUAGGUAGAUAAGU
rnacentral:lncRNA from 1 species